UACGGGGGGGGCAAGCGUUGUUCGGAAUUACUGGGCGUAAAGGGCGCGUAGGCGGCCUGCUAAGUCGAACGUGAAAUCCCCGGGCUCAACCCGGGAACUGCGUCCGAUACUGGUUGGCUUGAAUCCGGGAGAGGGAUGCGGAAUUCCAGGUGUAGCGGUGAAAUGCUUAGAUAUGACAUAGAACACCGAUUGCGAAGGCAGCUGACUACAGGUAUAUUGACACUGAGGCACGAAAGCGUGGGGAUCAAACAGG
rnacentral:rRNA from 1 species